rnacentral:rRNA from 1 species
AGACCCGAAACCCGGUGAUCUAGCCAUGGGCAGGUUGAAGGUUGGGUAACACUAACUGGAGGACCGAACCGACUAAUGUUGAAAAAUUAGCGGAUGACCUGUGGCUGGGGGUGAAAGGCCAAUCAAACCGGGAGAUAGCUGGUUCUCCCCGAAAGCUAUUUAGGUAGCGCCUCGUGAAUUCAUCUCCGGGGGUAGAGCACUGUUUCGGCUAGGGGGCCAUCCCGGCUUACCAACCCGAUGCAAACUGCGAAUACCGGAGAAUGUUAUCACGGGAGACACACGGCGGGUGCUAACGUCCGUCGUGAAGAGGGAAACAACCCAGACCGCCAGCUAAGGUCCCAAAGUCAUGGUUAAGUGGGAAACGAUGUGGGAAGGCCCAGACAGCCAGGAUGUUGGCUUAGAAGCAGCCAUCAUUUAAAGAAAGCGUAAUAGCUCACUGGUCGAGUCGGCCUGCGCGGAAGAUGUAACGGGGCUAAACCAUGCACCGAAGCUGCGGCAGCGACACUGUGUGUUGUUGGGUAGGGGAGCGUUCUGUAAGCCUGUGAAGGUGUGUCGUGAGGCAUGCUGGAGGUAUCAGAAGUGCGAAUGCUGACAUAAGUAACGAUAAAGCGGGUGAAAAGCCCGCUCGCCGGAAGACCAAGGGUUCCUGUCCAACGUUAAUCGGGGCAGGGUGAGUCGACCCCUAAGGCGAGGCCGAAAGGCGUAGUCGAUGGGAAACGGGUUAAUAUUCCCGUACUUGGUGUUACUGCGAAGGGGGGACGGAGAAGGCUAUGUUGGCCGGGCGACGGUUGUCCCGGUUUAAGCGUGUAGGUGUGUGUUCCAGGUAAAUCCGGUUCACUUUAACACUGAGGCGUGACGACGAGGCACUACGGUGCUGAAGCAACAAAUGCCCUGCUUCCAGGAAAAGCCUCUAAGCAUCAGGUAACAUCAAAUCGUACCCCAAACCGACACAGGUGGUCAGGUAGAGAAUACCAAGGCGCUUGAGAGAACUCGGGUGAAGGAACUAGGCAAAAUGGUGCCGUAACUUCGGGAGAAGGCACGCUGACACGUAGGUGAAGUGAUUUACUCAUGGAGCUGAAGUCAGUCGAAGAUACCAGCUGGCUGCAACUGUUU